CGUAUGCGUACAAGCAGUGGGAGCCCCUUCGUGGGGGUGACUGCGUACCUUUUGUAUAAUGGGUCAGCGACUUACAUUUUGUGGCAAGCUUAACCGAAUAGGGGAGGCGUAGGGAAACCGAGUCUUAAUAGGGCGUUUAGUCGCAAGGUGUAGACCCGAAACCGGGCGAUCUAUCCAUGACCAGGUUGAAGGUGUGGUAACACACACUGGAGGACCGAACCCACUCCCCGUUGAAAAAGGUGGGGAUGAGUUGUGGAUCGGAGUGAAAGGCUAAUCAAGCUCGGAGAUAGCUGGUUCUCCUCGAAAGCUAUUUAGGUAGCGCCUCGUGUAUCGCUUCUGGGGGUAGAGCACUGUUUCGGCUAGGGGGUCAUCCCGACUUACCAACCCGAUGCAAACUCCGAAUACCAGAAAGUGCAAGCACGGGGAGACACACGGCGGGUGAUAAGGUCCGUCGUGAAAAGGGAACAGCCCAGACCGUCAGCUAAGGUCCCCAAAUCUAUGCUCAGUGGGAAACGAUGUGGAAAGGCCAGACAGCCAGGAGUUGGCUUAGAAGC
rnacentral:rRNA from 1 species